ACACAAACACACACACACAUACACACAGAUGUAUGUGUAUAGAGAAAUAUAUGUGUGCAGAUAUCAACAACACAAAGAAGUAAUAUGAGACGAGUUUGGAAAUAUGGUGAAAGAAGAGUAUUUAGUGCAUCAUUAAGUGAUUGUUGUGAUUCUGCAGGUACUGAUGCUGGUCUGUCUGUAGAUAUUUCAGUGCGUGCACGUGUGCACAUGUGUGUGUGUGUGUGUGUGUGUGUGUAUGUGUGUGUGUGUAUUAAUUUUAUCACAUCUUUUGUUUCUCUAAUAGCUUCCAUUAAGCUCACAACAAUGGUCAGCGGUGAGUGACUUCGGCUGUCGCUGAGGACCAGACUCAAUAGCCAUAUCAACAACAACAACAACAAAAACUACAACAAGAACGACAUCAAAAACAAAAGUAACAACAAAGGCAACAAAGCUACAUCAAUGAAGAUGAUGAUGUUGAAAUUUACUAUUGAUAAUAAUAAUAAUAAUAACAAUAACAAUAACAAUAAUAAUAAUAAUAAUAAUAAUAAUAAUAAUAAUAAUAAUAAUAAUAAUAAUGAUAAUAAUAAUAAUAAUUGACAUCGAUGUUAUUAUUGUUAUUGUUAUCGUCACCAUCAUCGUCAUCAUCAUCGUCAUCAUCAUCAUAGCCAUGUGAGCAUCAGACAAAACGUCUUGUGGCAUUUCUUCAGGUUUUUAACGUUCUUAAUUCAAAUUCCAUUGUAGUUAACUUUACAUUUCAUUCUUCCGGGUCUGGUCAAGAUGAAAUACUAGUUAAAUACAGGGGUCGAUUUCCUUGACUAGCCCCUCCCAACCCUGUGUUGAGACUCUUGGUUUAGUGGUCAGGGUAUUGGAUUCAUGGUCGUAAAAGUGUGGUUUCAGUUCCUGGACCAGGCAUUGUGCUUUUGUACAAAACACUUCAUUUCAUGUUGCUCCUGUCCACUCAACUAGCAAAAAUUAGCAAUCCUGUGUCCCAACUGGGUAAGGAAUACAUUUGCCAUGAAAACAGGGAAACUGGGCCUUAUUAGUUGGUAUGACUUGAGAAAGAAACUUUACCUUUUUUCACCUCUCCCUAGCCAUUUCUAGCCUUGUAAUAUAUCACUUUAUACUCAUCAGAGUUAGCUGAUAUGGAAGGGAAUAUGGUGACAUCACCAUAUUUCCUUGCAUAUUGGCUAACUUUGAUGAGCGUAAAGUUAUGUAAGCAGUUUGUUACCUAACACUCCACUGUAUUCUUUACGCAAAGCCUAUUGGUGAAACCAGCUGUGAUGAUACUAUACAUUUCGGAUAAUAUACCCACUCUACUGACAGAUAUAUGAGUGGAUCUUUUCCCUGACUUAUUGUCUCUUAGACGACUAACAUUUAUACAUAUAUAUCAUAUUUUAACGUGUAUAAGGAACCCAUUUUUGCCAAAAAUUAAGUUAAAAGAAUAUGGUAGUUUCUUAUACAUGGAUAGUAUUAUAAUCCCUUACAAAACCUUUUUCCAAAUUUUAAGCCCCAAUAUUCCUUAUACAUGUUAAAAUAUGAUAUAUAUAUAUAAGAAAAAGAAAAUGGAGAAAUUAACAUAUAGACUUCAAUUUAUUUGGACAUAAUACAAUUCUGAACGAAAUCAAACUCAGUUUCACCUACACAUGUUUCCAUGCCACACUGAUUUGAGAAAUUGAAUUAAAUUAAAUUAAAUUUCCAAAUAUUAAAUUUGAUUUAAUUUAAUUUCUCAAAUUAAUUGGGCAUGGAAAUGUCCAAUUAUAGGUGAAAUUGAGUUUGAUAUCGUUCAGAAUUGUAUUAUGUUCAAAUAAAUUGAAGUCUAUAUGUCAAUUUCUCCAUUGUUUUUCUCAUACAUAAAAAUUAGUACACCCAUAUCCAUCAAUGCAAAGCUAACAUCUUUGGUUUUUCACUGAUACACUGGAUAAAACUAGGGAACUUGGAUGCUGACAUCCCUUUAAGAGGAUUUAUAUCCUUGAUUUAAUUGUGUGUGUGUGAGUGUGUAAAUUUAACUACUGUUCUACAGAAAUUGUUUCAUUGCAUUUGGUGUAUGAGGAAAAUUUUGAAGUUUGGUUCAAAAUUCCCUCUAUAUCUCUCAAUGUGCUCACUCAAUAGUAUUUGUCUAUAUCUUGGGAAAUGGAUUUUCUCCUUAUGAAGUAUUGUUCUCAAUCUGAGAGGCAUUCUUGUUCAUCCUAUAUAGCUACAUCUACAACCUGAACUAGUUAUGACAUAGAUUAUGUUUUUGGAUGCACAGGUAAAGUUAAUCUUAAUUUUGAAAUUUUGACCUUGUUUAAAAUGGAAUUUUGAACCUUCCAGUAUGUUGAAAAUAUUCCCCAUUUAGGUCCCCUGGAUGUUUUAACUCUUGGUUGUUUUGUUGUUGUUGUUGGGUAUAAUUUCAAACCUGUAAGUAUUCUCCUUAUUUCAGUUGGAUUUUAAUUGUUUAUUUUACUUUUAAUGAUUUUGUGUGUGUAGAAUUUGGUCCAUCUUUGAGUCCCUAGUGAGCGUGAAUAAAUUUUGAAUAAUAGCGUUAUAUGCCUCAUUGUUUCUACAGUUGUGGAUAGAAAUAUAGAGUAGUAUUUUCCAAUCAGGCAUGUGAUUUUGUUUCACUCCCUUAGUGUUUGGAUAUCAAUUCUCUUCAAAUAUUGCAUCCCAUCAUCUGUUAGUGAAAGUAGACAAUGUCUCUCAAUGAGAAUGGUUUUAAGUUCAUGAUGUCAUAGAUCCUAGGUAUUUGCACCAGACACUAUUGUGCACACCUGCUUGGCUAAAUUGAAGGGAAUGCUUAUCUUUAUGUCUUUCAGGUGGCAUCAGUUAAAUAGUAGGUAUUGCUUCAAAUUUGCAGUUUCAAUUUGGAUAUUGACUUUUCUUAUUAAAAUAUGAAAUGGAACUUUCUUUUGCUGUAUUGAAUGUUAGUAUUUGUAUCACUGAGCAGUGUUUUAAAUUUCAAUAUUUUAUCAAUACUUUCAUUCCAAAGGAUAAAGCAGUCAUCCGGAUAUCUUUUCCAGUUCUCUCUUAUAUAUGAAGCUACAUAUAUAUUUUUGCAUAUAUGCAUACAUCCAUACAAACAUACAUACAUACAUACAUACAUACAUACAUACAUACAUACAUACAUACAUACAUAUAUGCACACAUACAUGCAAGCAUGCAUACAUACAUAUCUAUGUGUGUUUGUGUGUGUUAUAUAUGUGUGUGUGUUAUGUGUGUACAUAUAUUCAUACACAAAUUCCUCUUCCGGACAAUUUUUACUUAAAAAAAGGCAGCCCCAACAUUUGCUCUCUCAUUCAUUCAUCUAGCACCCGAGCGCAGAUAAGUUUGAAUGCUUAUUUAUUUUCACUUCUCGAUCGAUCAUACAUGCUUUCUUAUCUAUCUAACUAUUUUUAUCUAAUUUCUCUAUCUCUCUAUCUAUCGAUCUAAUUAUUUUAACUAAUUUAUCCAUUUCUCCUCUCGACUAUUUAACUAAUUUAUCCAUUUCUCCUCUCGACUAUAAUACGCCAUCUUGAAGCCUGUUCACUUCCGCCUUGUCCAAAAAUUCCUCUUCCGGACAAUUUUUACUUAAAAAAGGCAGCCCCAACAUUUGCUCUCUCAUUCAUUCAUCUAGCACCCGAGCGCAGAUAAGUUUGAAUGCUUAUUUAUUUUCACUUCUCGAUCGAUCAUACAUGCUUUCUUAUCUAUCUAACUAUUUUUAUCUAAUUUCUCUAUCUCUCUAUCGAUCUAAUUAUUUUAACUAAUUUAUCCAUUUCUCCUCUCGACUAUAAUCAACCAUCGUGUAUUAGCGGUGCACCCGCCCUGCCCACCCCCACCACCAAUACCGGAUAUCUCUAUAUUUUUGCUCCAUCUAUACCGGAUGUCGCUUCUCCCACCACCAUUAUAGGUGUCUACUCUUCGAACCCCUCUUCAAUACGCUAUUUCACCAUGCAUUACCCCUCUCUUGAUAUCCUACGUUCUACUUGCCUAGAACCUGUCAUCAUUUCUCUGAACCACCCCUCCCCACUGGUGCUCCCCUAUAUUUCUGCCCCCCCCACAUAAAAAGCACCAUCCGAACGUGGCCGAUGCCAGACCCCUCUGGCACCUGUGCAGGUGGCACUAAAAAACACCCACUACACUCGCGGAGUGGUUGGCGUUAGGAAGGGCAUCCAGCUGUAGAAACACUGCCAGACUAGACUGGAGCCUGGGGCAGUCCCUAGCUCCCCAGACCCCGGUCGAAACCGUCCAACCCGUGCUAGCGCGGAAAACGGACGUUAAACGAUGAUGAUGAUGAUGAUGAUGAUACACUCACACACAUACAUAUGGGUAUGUGUGUGUGCAUGUUUGUAUAUAUAUAUAUAUAUACAAGGUGUGGUGAAUAAAUUGUCAUCCAAAUUAUGCAAAAAUGAAAAUAACAGUGACAUCUCAUUUUAACAGAUAUAUUUACCAAAAUUACAUAAAAAUAUCUUGAAAUACUAAAGAGUAAAUUCAUUCAAUAAAAUCGCCUUUGGCUUCAACCACGGCCUCCAGACGAUUUCAGAAUUUCCUGCAACUCUUCUGGAUGAUCUCCUCAUUUAAGUUGGUAAAUGCUGCCAUAAUCCGUACAUUCAGUUCAUCUUUGGUGUUACAAGGUGAUUUUGGGUCUCUUGCUCAACUGUGCCCCACACAAAAUAAUCAAGGUGGUUGCAGUCUGGGGAGCUAGGUGGGCAGAUGUCAGGGGUGGUGUGGUUGCAGAAAUUGUCUGACAGCCAUGACUGGGUUCUCCUGUUUGUGUGGAAUGGUACAGAGUCCUGUUGUCAGACAAGGUGUUCCAUCAGCCAACCUCUUCAUCCAGACUAGCACUACUGCCUCCAGGCACUUGAUAUAAGCCUCUGUUUUGAGUCUGAGGCUAUGUGGGAAGAUGAAUGGAGACAUAACAUCACCAUCACUAGUGAUCACUCCAAACACCAUGAUGUUGACUGGAUGUUUGAUCUUUAUCACUUUCGGUACAUGUUUUAGGGACAUAGCAAGCCAAUGGUUGUUCUGUGUGUUCACCAUCUGAUCCUGACAGAAAAAUUUUCUCGUCUGAGAAAAACCAAAACAUGUUCAGCUGGAGGGGGUGCUUGAGUCUGUUCAAAAGCUUCGUAGUUUGGUCUUUCUUCUUGUCCUUCAUGGCUUGGGAUAAAAAUUGGCCGUUUCUAAUCUUGUAUGAGGAAUACCAAAUGUCUUCAUGCUCUACCCCACUGAUAAGAAACUCAGACACUCUCAUAUCUCUGGCUGACUUGGAAGGAUCAUUGUCAAUUAUGGCCUGGAUCUUACCAACAAAUUCUGGAGUUCCUUUCCAAGCUGCCAUACCUUCAUAAUCACCAUUAGACUCAUCCAACCCUUUCCAAAUCCUCUGUACUGUCCUCAGAUUGACAACCAAACACUCUGAAAUGUUUGUAUUGGAGCUUCCAGUGUAAAUGCCAAGCAGUACAGCAUGUCGUUUCCAAAUUUCUGGCAGAGUGAAUUGCAUCAUGGUGCUGUUUUUCUCACAGAUGGUGCCCAACUGAUCCUACUAUACUGUGUAGUUGGCAAAAUCAAAAACAAACAAUGCACAUGUGCAAAAUUAAAAAUACAAAAUUGUAACAAUUUAACCAUCACACCAUGUAUAUAUAUACAUAUACACACACACACAUACAUAUAUAUGUUAUAUGGAAAACAUAACUGUUCCAAUUUAAUCUUUUAUAUUAAACUUCCAUUUUAUAUCCUUUUCUAAAAUUCUUAAAGCCUCUAAAUUCAGUUCUAUUGAAGCUUCUAAACUGUCUCAGCCUCAUCAACAGGAUAUGGGGUGGUGUUAGCUUCUUUACAGCCUCUUUUGUUGUAGGUGAAUCUUGUUUAUGCAGACUUUACUGCUAGAAUUUUACUAAUAGAAUUACACAUCAUCAACAUGAAUAUCGUUUGCAUGUUAAUUUUAGUUGUGUGUUGUGAUAUGAAUAUUGCUUCCAUAAUUAAUCAUCUCAUUUUGUGGAAAAUCCUAUACAGCAUCUAUGUAUUCUCUGUUGAUAUUUUACUGUAUGGUGUUGUUGUUUAGUGUUUGGUGCAGUGUGCUGCAAUUGAUUCUUUCCAUCAUCGUGGUUGUCAUCACCAUUGUUGUCGUCAUCGUCGUUGUCAUCACAUGUGUGUGCAUGUAUGUGUGUGUGUAUGAAUGUGUGUAUGUAUGUGUGUGUGUUUAUAUAUAAGCAGAUCUAUCCAUCUAUCAUUUCAUACAUGCGUGUGUAUGUAUGUGUAUGUGCAUAUGUAUAUAUGCAUAUGUGUGUAUAUAUAUACACACACACACAUAUGUGCAUACAUGGAUAGAUAUAUUCUAUACAUACAUGCAUAUAUAUAUAUAUAUUUAUACACACACACAAAUAUAUAUAUAUGUAUAUAUAUAUAUAUAUAUAUAUAUAUAUAUAUAUAUAUAUAUAUAUACACACACAAAUAUAUAUAUAUAUAUACAUACAGACAGACAGACAUAUAUAUAUAUAUAUCUAUGUACAUACAUAUAUACAUAUAUAUGUAUCUAUACAUAUAUAUACAUAUAUAUAUAUACAUACAUACAUAUACAUAUAUAUGUAUCUAUACAUAUAUAUACAUAUAUAUGUAUCUAUACAUAUAUAUACAUACAUAUAUAUAUAUCAUCAUCAUCAUUGUUUAACGUCCGCUUUCCAUGCUAGCAUGGGUUGGACGAUUUUGACUGAGGGCUGUCGAACCAGAUGGCUGCACCAGGCUCCAAUCUUGAUCUGGCAGAGUUUCUACAGCUGGAUGCCCUUCCUAAUGCCAACCACUCCGAGAGUGUAGUGGGUGCUUUUUAUAUAUAUACACAUACAUAUAUAUUCCUAUCCGUGUGGAAGUUGAACCCACAUACUUUUGUUAAUGUGUGUUACCUGUACACCAGCGAAUCAGCCUCCCCAUUUCUGUCAAAUUUAAGAACUAUAAUAGUUUGUUUGUUUUUAUGUAAACAAACUUUUUAUAUGCUUUCAGUGCGAUUGUUUUUUUUAUUAUACAGUACUGAGUUUACAAUCCUAUAUAUAUAUAUGUAUAUAUAUGUAUUACAUAAGCCAGAUUGACUACCUUCUCUCCAGGUAAUGAGAUACAUGGAUGCUUAUAUAUAUAUAUAUAUGUAUUACAUAAGCCAGAUUGACUACCUUCUCUCCAGGUAAUGAGAUACAUGGAUGCUUAAAAAUGCAAAGUCUUUCCCAGGUGAAGAGUGUGCAACCCAACAUACGUUACUAGUUAUCGACUUCUGAAUUAGAGCUAGAAAGACCUGGGGAAAUAAGCCAAUAUGGAAAGACUAUGAAAGCUUAAAGACCCAGCGAACAGACAAAAUUUUGAGAUUUGCUAAUGGAAGCUUCUGAUGAAAGAGAGAAAGAGUUGGGGACAUAUACCUUAGAGGACAACUGGAAAUUCUUGAGGGACAAUCUACUGAGGGCUACAGCUGAAAUUUGUGGCUGGUGCAGAGUCCCAGCUAGACCAAAGGUGAUGGUGGAGCAAGGGGGUUGACAGUAUUAUAAAAGCAACGAGACAAGCCUGGAAGGAAUGGAAAAACGGUGGAAGCAGUCAAUGGAACAGCCAUCUCAUGAAAUUAAUGUGCAAGAGGCUGAGCAUUCCACACACACAUGUAUGCUUAACAUAGUUCUCAGGGAAAUGCAGUGUGACAUAGAGUGUGACUAGGCUGGUCCUUUGAAAUACAGGUACUACUCAUUUUUGCCAGCUGAGUGGACUGGAGCAAUGUGAAAUAAAAGUAUCUUGGUGAAGGAUAAAAUGCAUCACUGGGAAUUGAACUUAUAAUGGUAAGCUGAAGGCCCCUAACCACUAAGCCACAUGCCUCCAUGUAAUAUAUAUGUGUAUGUAUAUAUAUAUAUGGCUGUUGCCAGUACCGCCUGACUGGCCCUUGUGCCAGUGGCAUGUAAAAGCACCCACUACACUCUCGGAGUGGUUGGCAUUAGGAAGGGCAUCCAGCUGUAGAAACUCUGCCAGAUCAGAUUGGAGCCUGGUGCAGCCAUCUGGUUCGCCAGUUCCCAGUCAAACCGUCCAACCCAUGCCACCAUGGAAAGUGGACAUUAAACAAUGAUGAUGAUGAUGAUGAUAUGUAUAUAUAUAUAUAUAUAUAUAUAUAUAUAUAUAUACACAUAUUACAUAUGAGUGUUUAUGUUUCCUUGCCUUACCAUUGUGAAGUAUUUGUAAGUGAGUGACACCAUCUCACAAGCAUUGUUGUUUGUUUCAUGUCCUCCAUAAAAACAUAUCCGGCUUUGGAGAAAUAUUACCUCGCUUAGAAUUAGAUGAAGGUUGGCAGCAAGAAAGGAAUCUGUCUAUUGAAAAUCUGCUUCCAGAAAUUCCAUCUGUUCAAUGCAGUGUCUUCUAUUAGCCUUGCAUUGGCCAAUUCUUUGUGAAUUGGAAUUUGUUAACAGGAAACUGUGCAGAGGCUGUUGCAUAAAUGUGUGAGUGGGUGUGUUUUGCUUAUGUAAGCAUUGAUAUAAAAAUCAUUGAUCUCUAUAUGGUGUCUGUUUAACUUAGCAGUUUGACAAAUAGAUUUUAAUUAGCAGGGAGUGCUUCAGCAUGGCCACUGACCUAUGGGUGGAACCAAUAAAAGAGUAAAAUAAUUUAGACGUGUGUGUACAUGUUCACAUGUAUUUAUGUGUGUAUGAAGGCGGCGAGCUGGCAGAAACGUUAGCAUGCUGGGUGUAAUGCUUAGCAGUAUUUCGUCUGCCGUUAAGUUCUGAGUUCAAAUUCUGCCGAGGUCGACUUUGCCUUUCACCCUUUCGGGGUCGAUCAAAUAAGUACCAGUUACACACUGGGGUCGAUGUAAUCGACUUAAUCCGUUUAUCUGUCCUUGUUUGUCCCCUCUGUAUUUAGCCCCUUGUGGGUAGUAAAGAAAUAUGUAUGUAUGUAUGUAUGUAUGUAUGUAUGUGUAUGCAUAGUUUUGCUUAUACAUGCACAUCAAAAUGUGUGUGUGAGUAUGCAUGUGUGAAAGUGUGUACACGUGUCGUGCAUUUUCAUAACAUUAUUAUUUUUAACCUACUCUUUAAUCUAUAUUCUAUAUUUCAUCGUUUUUAUACAAUGUCUCAAUUUAUGCACAUACAUGUAUGUGUGUAUAUGAAUGUGUACAUAUGUGUAAAUAUAUAUCUAUGUGCAUGUGUUUUUACACACACACACACACACACACAUGCAUGCAUUCAUAAACGAACUAAAACUAAUUCUGUCACACACAUAUGGAACACACUGCUUGUGCAGUUACCUCCCCUUGCCCAGCUGCACUCUUACCUGUUUCCUUAAUAUAUAUCCCAAGACUUCUUUCAUUAAAUACCUCAAUACACAUCAGUGUAUUCUUUAUGUUUAUUAACCAGUAUUGAUUUUUAAGACAUAGUGACCAACACAAACUCUGUUCAGCUGAAAAAGCAGCUCUUUUACAUUACAAUCUUGGAAGUUUUUGUUUUCUUUUUUGUUUUGCUUUUUUUCCAUUGUUAGUUUAUCAUUUUCCUUUCUCAUUCCAUAUAAGCUUCAAAUGGUUUCUCUCUGUUCAUUGUGUGUCCAUACCUGUGUGUGUUUUGCUUGUCGACAUUUUUUUUUAUUGCCAAUGAAAGAACUAGGUUUAUAUAAUAUUCCAUUCAUUUUAUCUUUAGUAAAUGUAUUCAAUAAUAUAUACCAAUAAUAUGGGUAUCAAUACUUGCACAUACAUACAUACAUGUAUAUACGUAGCUAUAUGUAUGUAUGUAUGUAUGUAUGUAUGUAUGUAUGUAUAUGUGUGUGUAUGUAUGUAUGUAUGUAUGUAUGUAUGUAUGUAUGUAUGUAUGUAUGUAUGUGUAUGUGCAAUAUGUAGCCAAAUCAUACAGCAAUAAUAACACAGCAAUAAUAUUAACAGUAAUAUAUUUAUAGUUAAGCUAUAUAGCAAUAAUAUAUACACUAGUAAUUUAUAUAGCAAUUAUCUACAUCGUAAGGUGUUUUUGAUUUUUCUCUUUAGUAACACAUAUGCUCUGACAUUAAUAGAAUUUUCCUCUUUAUUGUAUGUAUGGUUGUGUAUAUGCGUGAGUGUAUGUGUGUGUGUGUGUGUGUGUGUGUGUGAUUUUAUAUGUUUUUAUGCAAAUAUAUAAAUACAUGUGUGGGUGUAUGUAUGGUUGUUAGUAAGUAUAUUUUAUGUGUCCCUUCAUAGGCUUGUGUGCAUAUGUGUGUGUGUGUAUAUACACAUGUAUAUAUAUAUAUAUAUAUAUAUAUAUAUAUAUAUAUAUAUAUAUAUACAUAUAUAUAUACAUAUGCAUAUAUAUAUAUAUAUAUAUAUAUAUAUACAUAUAUAUAUACAUAUGCAUAUAUAUAUAUAUAUAUAUAUAUAUAUAUAUAUAACAUAUAUAUAUAUAUAUUUGUGUAUCUGUUUCUGUGUGUAUGUUUAUCUCUAUAUUAUGUGACACUCGUCAGUAUAUAUAGAUUUUUGCACAUGUGUACAAAAAAAUGUUAAUAUGUGUAUAUGGCAGUGUUAUUUUUUGAGUGUGUGUAUAUAUAUAUAUGUAAUAGAGUUAAUUGCUGAGCAUGUAUGCAUAAUGUGUAUGUAUAAUAUUCAUAGUUGAUUACAGUGUAGAGGUGUGCAUAUAAUAAUCUUAAUGGGUAAAUGUGUGUAGAGUGUGUAUGGUAGCUAUAGUGAAUAAGCUUGUAUAUGUAUGUAUAUGUAAUAGUGUUAGCGAGUAAGUGUAUAUAUGUGUAUAUAAGCAUUUGUAGGUAAAUGUGUAUGUUUUUAUGCAUAUGACAGUGGUUACAUGUAGUAGAUUAGUUUGUUUAUGUGAGCUGUAUAUGAAUGUGUAUAUAUAUAUAUGAGUACAACAGUUUUAGCAAGGAAUUCUAUGUGUAUAACACUUUUUAUAUUAGGUUAUGUAUGAAGGCUACAGCAGCCUGUGGUCCACUACAACCUGGUGCACAGUCAAGUCCUUAGUCACUAAAUCCUCUCUGUCACCAGGCUUGCUUAAUGAAGAGAGUGGUUACAAACCAAAAAUAAUGCCCUUUGAAAGAACAGAUGAGCAUUAUGUUAGGUCAUCAACUAUCUAAUGAUAGUCUGAAUGCUUAUAAGUUCUGGAUUAGAAUCCAGUCUAUAGUAAGACCAUUGGAAAUGCAGUACAGCUUAACUUUUGUUAAAGUAUGUCUCAACACCAGCAGUAUAACUGGGUGAACAUUCUGGGCUUCACAGUUUCCAAUGAUCAGACAAGGAAUAGGAUAACUACAAGCGUAAAUCGUCACUGCUUGUGAGUGCCUAUGAAGAGGCAAAAGCUAAGGGAGUCUGCACCCAGACAGUUUUUUGUUCUUUCUCAAGCCAUGCCUGGCUCAUAAGGGCCGGUUUCUCGGUUUCCUUGGCAUAUAGGUUUCCCACCUGGACGGGACGCUGGUCCUUCACAGGUGAGCUGCAAGAUGCAGGAGGAAAGAGUGAGAGAAAGUUGUGGCGACAGAGUCAGCAGAAGUUUGCCAUUUCCUUCUGCCGGAGCCGCGUGGAGCUUAGGUGUUUCGCUCAUAAACACAUACAUCACCUGGUCUGAGAUUAGAACCCGUGAUCCCUCAACUGCGAGUCCGCUGCUCUUACCACUAGGCCAUGUGCCUCCACCACCCAGACAGUACAUUGGAUCGAAAGAGAACUUGAGGUCUACUGAUUGUAUUCAUCCCCAAAUGAGGAUGCAGAUGCAACACAGUUGUAUCUGAAUCACCUCCACCUCAGUGAUGAAGAUGGGUACAUUGAUCCAUGACUCUGUGAGUACUCAUGUAAAUGUGCAUAAGAUUUACAUGAUGUAUAUGUUUAUAAUACAGUGUUACUAUAUAAGUGCUUAUGCUUACAUAUAAAUGUAUAUAUAUACACACACUAAGACACAUGCUACACAGGGGAGAUGUUUAGAUGAUGGGGAUGCCUGGAAAAGUUAAACUGGUUCACAGCACGCUGGCAGGCACCUGCAAAAAGAUCAGCUGCUUGGAACUGGCCAGGAGCUGGCAUCCAGUGGGAUCGUUGGCGGCCCAGGUGGUGAAGCAGUCCUCCUUAUUAGAUGUAGGGAACAACUCCAGGGAACAAAAACUGUUACAGUAAUGAUAGAAAAGCAGAGACAAGAGAUAGUGUGGCAGUGGGACAGAGGCUGGGGCUUGUCUGUGAGUGAUUUUUAUGCCAGGAAGCCACAUGGUCCCUUUCUGGAUAUAAUUUUUUACACUCAUUCCACUGUCCAGUUUAUUCCUGCAUGCCAGUGACACCAGAGCAUGAAGUCAUUGGUAUAGAUGUGCAGCUUCUUUUCAUACGUAUCUUACAUAUCAAAUAUGAUGACAGGGUAAAAAUUUGAAUGAAAAUUAAAUGAAUGAAUGAAAUUAUUGUGUACAGUGCUCAGGUGCACCACAACUUGUUAAAAGUGCAUAUAAAGAAUAUGCAGUAAUGCACAAAUGUCUGGCAAGUGAACAGUGUAUCAGUCAGAUACAUGCUUGUGUGUGUAUGGAGGGGAGAAAAUCAGGUGUAGUGUUGGCGAAUCUCAGGAAGCAUGGAAGUUUUGAAGAAUGCAGUGCACCAACAACUAACAACUGAUGCUGGCAGUUUGUUCCAUGCUUCAGCAACUCUUAACAUGAAAAAAUGUAUUUCGAAAGUCAUGGGAGCUGUGCUGUUUCCUGACUUUGUAAACAUGUCCACAGGUGUUAGACAGGUGGAGUUUGAAAAGGUGUUCAGAGUUAUUGUUUGUAAGAUGGUUAAUAAUUUUAUGAGUGUCUGUCAAGUUAGCUGCCAGACAACGUCAGAGUUUCAAUGUAUCCAUGCCCAGGAUAGUAAACAUUUGACUCUUGUCUGGACAGAAAACGUUUGACUCAUAUCUGGACAGAAAACGUUUGACUCAUGUCUGGACAGAAAACGUUUGACUCAUGUCUGGACAGAAAACGUUUGACUCAUGUCUGGACAGAAAACGUUCGACUCAUAUCUGGACAGAAAACGUUUGACUCCUGUCUGGACAGAAAACGUUUGACUCAUGUCUGGACAGAAAACGUUUGACUCAUAUCUAGACAGAAAACGUUUGACUCAUGUCUGGACAGAAAAAGUAGGUGCUUGAACUUGGUAUGUCAAGUGUCAUGCAGGGAAAGGCGUACAGAAAAACUCCAUACAGAGGAGUUGAAAUCUUGUUUUGAUUCACAGUCAAGGCCUCUUCCUUAAUUUUCUCUUCUAGAGAUCUUCAGAAAGGUAUAAAAUUGACAUAGAUUCCUUGUUAGGUUUUCUUUCCAAAAUAAAGGAAGAUUUGCACCUAGUCACAUGAAGCAAAUAUUCUUUUUGUUAAUUUGGUUUGACUUUCAAACAACGAAACAUAUUAAUUUAUUAUGAUGCAGUUAUGUUUCCAUAGUAACGUCUCUAAAUAGAAAACUACUGCUUUAACAUAACCACACAAAAAUAUCUGUGGCUGCAUAUGAAAAUAUCUGCAGGUAUCUGCGUAUGUAUGUGUGAAUGAAUGUGUUUGUGUAUGCAACUAUGCUUAGAUGCUGCUGUUUUCAAUGUGUGUGUGUAUGUGUGUGUGUGUGUAUGUAUGUGUGUGUGUGUAUGUGUGUGUGUCCAUGCAAGUACAUGUUUUAUGUGUCAAGUUUAUGAUGCAAAGAUAGAUAAUUCUGCUAAAAAGUGACAUAAUUUAAUCUAGCAUACUGGCUUCAGAUAUGUAAAUAUUAGUAGAUCAUAAGAUAUGUCUGAAAAUUUAAUAUGUAAUGUAUGAGUGUGUCUAUUUAUAUAUCAUCAUAGUCACCAUCAUAUAUAUAUAUAUACAUACAUACAUAAGUUCCUACCGAUAAUGGUUAUAUUUCCUUACCAAAAUCUACCCGGAAAUAUUUGUUGGUUUUUUAAAAAUUAAUAAUUAUUUACCCUUAUAUUAUAUAUAUAUAUAUAUAUAUAUAUAUAUAUAUAAUCAAAGCAAGCAACAAGGAUAUCCAGAGGUAAUGCAGUACGAUUGUUUCAUGCGACUCCAUUUAAUUGAACAAUGCAAGUAUUACAUCAGUUUUAAAAAAUGUAGAGCAAUCUACUUACCCUCUUUGUGAUUUUGGUUAAUGGAAUAACUAUAAAAAUGAAUCUUUUGAAUUUAACUAAAUUCUAUAUUUUUAUGCAGCUGAAGAUUGCUCUACAUUUUAAAACUGAUGUAAUAUUUGCAUUGUUCAAUUAAAUGAUGUCACAUGAAACGAUCGUACUGCAUUACCUCUGGAUAUCCUUGUUGCUUAUUUUGAUUAUAAUCACCCCAUUUUGAAUUAUAUGGAUAAUACCAUACCAAAUUCUGGUGCCUUUAACUUAAGUACCAUAUUCAACUGAAUCUAAAUUUUUACUGAACUUAUAUAUAUAUAUAUAUAUCACUUAAUAUACACAGGACUUAAAUGUGAGUUACUAUAAGUUUCAGACUUCUGAUAAUAUAGUAGUUGGACAAGCUUGUAUAGUGUACUGUGUAUUAUUGGACAAUUAGAUUUGUACAUAUGUAUAUGUGUGUUAAUGUGUGUGUGUGUGUGUUUGUGUGUGUUUGUGUGUGUGUGUGUGUGUGUGUGUGUGUGUGUGUGUGUGUAUGAAUCUAUGUAUAUAUACAUUUAAUGUUUAUUAAUUGAAUUGAAUGAAUGAAGAAUAAAUUUUUCAUUUAUUUGAUGGCUGUUUUUCCAUGCAAGUAGGCACUCGAUGAGGAGUUAAUUGAUGCAGAAUAUCACAGCUGGGUGCUCUUCAUGUUACCAACACUCACCUGGUUUUGCAAAUAAGAGAUUUAUGUAUCCCACAUGUCUUUCAAAGUGCAGACAACUGGUCAAUAUGUGAACGGGGAAUGUCAGCAUCACUGCUGUUUUGCUCACAUUGCAGCAGGCAAAAUACAAGCGUUUACAUACACAUGCACACAUAUACAAAUACAGACACACACACACACACACACACACGUACAUAUUCACAUAUUCACACAUGCACAUCCACACAUCACACACAUGCACACACACAUCCACAUAUUACACAUCCAUACAUACAUCUCUCUCUCUCUCUCUCACACACACACGUACAUAUUCACAUAUUCACACAUGCACAUCCAUACAUCACACACACAUGCACACACACACACAUACACACAUACACACACACAUAUAUCCACAUAUCACACAUCCAUACAUCUUUCUCUCUCUCUCUCACACACACACACACACACACACACAUGGUGAGCUUACCAGACUUUCUGAACUUUCAAAUUCAUUCACAAGGCAGGGGUCAGCCUGAGAUGAUGCUUGCCCUAAGUGUUGUGCCAAUGGGGACUAAACCAAAACAACCAAUGAUGUGGUAGAGCGAACUUCUUAAUGACACAGUAUUAUGUACCCUGCUGACCUUUCUCAUUGGUAAAACAGCUUUUUUCAGUGAGAGAAAAACUAUCCAGUCGCUGAUAAAGUGUUAACAAAUGUUGAAAUUUGUCUGAUUGUUCUUUUCUUUUCUUUUUGCUUUUUCUGACUACACAGACAGGAAAAAAAAGCAAAGCUCAACUACUGUGAAAGUACAUCAGUUUAACCACUGCGUUUAUUUUUUUACAGUGGGGUUAAAUCUUGUGUCAGUUAAACACACACUCUUAAAACAUUUCCCUGCAUUUCUGCAUGCACACACAUACACAUGUACACAUGCACAUGCACACAUGCAUACACACACAAACACACACAUGCAGUUAACCUUGUCUCAGUAAUGCUACUCUCAUCAUUGGUGAAGAAGUGGGGGGGAAAAAGCAAUAUUUAAAGAUAUUGGUUUAAAGUUUUAAUACCUGAUAUUAUAUGUUCGUUACAUGGCCUAUAAUAUUGAUUGCCAUUCAUCAUUUUUAUGUAUCAGGAAAGAUCUUGGGGAAAGAAUUUGGGGUAUAUAGCAACAAUUUGAAAUGAAUAUAUUCUUCUUGUUUAGAAGUGGCGAAGCAGAUGGUGUGAAGAUUUUAUGCAAGACAGAGAACUGAAUAUUUUAACCAAUUUCCAAAUGUAAUUUCUCUUUCCAAAGCAGCUCAUGUGAUGAUUGCGUUUCCCCUUCAUUGCUUGAUUUUCAGAUUGAUUUAGAAAGUGUCACUCCAAGCUGUUUUCCAAGUGAUGGUCAUGCUCAGUCAGCAAAUUUAAGUUGUUGUUGUUGUUGUUGUUGUUGUUGUUGUUGUUGUUGUCAUAUAACCCCAGGUUAGCUCUAAUGAAACGGACCUAUGAUCAGAUGUAUUCCAUUCAUGGCCAUCUCAUUUGUUUUUUGUUCUGUGCGAAAGGAACCUAGAGCCACAUUAUCCCAAUGUGUCCUUUUCUAACAUGAUGGUGAGAUGUUAUUUUGAGGGGGAUUUGGCUGCUGCUUCUUGCAGGUUGAACGGCCACAUAGUGGUUCCCUUAUUGAUUUGAGAUGAUUUAUAUAAUUGAUCAAGAUAGCUACAUGGAUGUUAGCAUGGUAGUGCCACCAUACUUCAACAAUUUCUUUUUGCCUCUUUACUUUAUGUUGGACUGUUUACAACAUUUUUGCAUCAUGACACUUGACAAAGCUGGACAUGUCUGAGAUGCAACUGAUGUUUAUCUUAAUGCUGUUUUUUUUCUAUUAUCAUCAUCAUCAUAUUCAUCAUCAUCAUCAUUAAUAUCAUCAUCGUCAUCAUCAUUAUCAUCAUCAUCAUCAUUGUCAUCGUUGUUGUCAUCAUGAUCAUCUCAAUAUCAUCAUCAUCAUCAUCAUCAUCGUCAUCAUCGUUAUCAUCAUCAUCAUCGUUGUCAUCAUCAUUAUCAUUGUCAUCAUCAUUAAUAUCAUCAUAAUUGUCAUCAUCAUCAUCAUCAUCAUCGUCGUCGUCGUCAUCAUCAUUAAUAUCAUCAUAAUUGUCAUCAUCAUCAUAAUUUUAAUGUCAACUUUCCCAGGCAGAAUGUCGUCGAGGCAGAGUUUUCUCCGGCUGGAUACCAUUCUGGUCACCAUCCCUCACCUGUUCCCAAGUAAGGUAAUAUUUCUCCAUAACUAGAUAUCUUUUCAUGGAAUUGGCAGGAAUGAAGAACACCACUUGCACCAUGGAGACAUACACUUAUAACUAUCAUGUGAAUUUCUUAUAGAAUUUGAGAUUCAGGUUUAUUUUCCGUGAUCUUUAGUGAAAACUGUGCUGAAGCUUGUGAUAUAGAUCCCAUGAUUUUAGAUGUCAUUCUCUUUUCAGUUACCCACUAGCAUAGCUAGAGGGGUGGCAGAGGGAGCAGUCCACCCCAGGUGACACUUUUAUGGAGGUGGCACCACUUUUGGGUCUGAGGCAGGAUAAAGUCUGUACAGGCUGGAUUGGAAUCAAAUAAUAGUGGUUUUAAUGUCAGGACACAGACAUUUCUCACCAUUAAAUGCAACAACCAAUAUAGUCACUGUGCAAUAUGUAUUUUUCAUAGGGGGCCUAGGGGUAGUAAACUGGGUGGCACAAACUCUAGCUUUAUCACUGCAGUUAACAUGGACUCAUGUAUACAUACAAGCAUGUGUCCACACACACACACACACACGUGCACACGCACACACAUACACACACACACAUGCACAACCAUGCACCCACAGACACAGAAACCAAAAUAUGUAUCUAUAGUAUUUACUUCUGUUUUUCAAUGCUGUCAUGGGUUGGACUUUCUUGAUGUGGUAUGGUUUGCCAUUGAAGACUCUAAUGCAUUUGUGGGGUGGAACUUGUUUAAUGGCCAAACAAACUUCAGAAAGCAGUAAUAUGAUGCCAUCACUGUUUGUUUUUGGACACCCUGUAUCUAUCUUUGACUUUAUUAUCAUGUGUAGUUUUUUUUUUUUAGAUGAUUAGAUGGAAUUUAAGGGUGAUUUGAUAUUUUUGCUUUUGGUUUAUCAUUUAUAUUUUACUUGUUUCAGUCAUGCUGGAGCAUCCCCUUGAAAGGGUUUAGUAGAAAAAUUGAACCCCAGUACUUAUAUUUUAAAUCUGCAACUUAUUCUGUUUGUGUCUUUUACCAGACUGCUAAGUUAUGGGCAUGCGUUGAAUGAAACACAUUGCUAAGUUGCCAAGAAGGCUGAGGGUGUUUUGGAAUCACUCACCAAGUCUUUUGUGAGCUGCUCUUCGGCUAUUUAUCUGCGGCUUUAUAUAGCUAUGGACCUCACCUGGAAUUUGCAUCACCGGUCUGGAACCCCUAUCUUGCCCAGGAUAUUAAUCGUCUGGAAGCCGUUCAGCAACGUGCAACCAAGAGAAUACCCUCCAUCAGGCAUUUGCCAUGUUCUGAACGCCUUACUUCUCUGGGCAUGGAUACAUUGAAAUUCCGACGUCUGACAGCUGACUUGGCAGACACCCAUAAAAUUAUUAACCAUCUUACAAACAAUAACUCUGAGCACCUUUUCAAACUCCAUCUGUCUAACACCCAUGGACAUGUUUACAAAGUCAGAAAACAGCACAGAUCCUUCCAUGACUUUCGGAAACAUUUUUUCACGCUAAGAGUUGCUGAAGUAUGGAACAAACUGCCGGCAUCAGUUGUUAGUUGUUGGAGCACAGCAUCCUUCAAAACUUCCAUGUUUCCUGAGAUUUGCCAACACUACACCUGAUUUUCUCCCCACCAUAUACACGCGAGCAUGUAUCUGACUCAUACACUGUUCACUUCCCAGACAUUUGUACAUUACUGCAUAUUCUUUAUACACACUUUUGAUAAGUUGUGGUGCACCUGAGCACUGUAUACAAUAAUUUCAUUAUUAUUAUUAUUAUUGUUGUUGUUGUUAUUAUUAUUAUUAUUAUUAUUAUUAUUAUUAUUAUUAUUAUUAUUAUUAUUAUUAUUAUUAUUAUUAUUAUUAUUCAGUAGUUUUAUUUUUAUAGCGUGCUUUCACUUCACUACCGAGCGCAGCUCUGUGUGCCUUAGGUAUGUGCUGUGAUUUGUUGUGAUACUCUGAUGGUUAUUGUAUGGAAAGUGUUCUGCGUAGGAUGUGUGCAGUGCCUAGUAGUGCAAUUUUCUGUAUGUUAUAUGUGUUUGUAAGUCCUGGUGUUUUUGUUAUGUAUUUGUCUGAAUAUUGUUUUAUCAUGCCUAGUGCACCUACUAUGAUAGGAAUUGUUUCUGUUUUUAGAUUCCACAUUCUGGUUACCUCUAUUUCCAGGUCUUUGCAUUUUGAAAGUUUCUCCAUUUCUUUUAGAGACUUAUUUUUAUUAUUACUUACUUACUUUACUUUACUUUUACUUGUUUCAGUCAUUUGACUGUGGCCAUGCUAGACACCGCUUUUAGUCGAGCAGCUCAACCCCGGUACUUAUUCAUUGUAAGCCCAGUACUUAUUCUAUCGGUCUCUUUUGCCGAACCGCUAAGUGACGGGGACAUAAACACACCAGCAUGCUAGGGGGACAAACACAGACACACAAACACACACACAUACAUAUAUAUAUAUAUAUAUAUAUAUAUACAUGCAUACGACAGGCUUCUUUCAGUUUCCGUCUACCAAAUCCACUCACAAGGCUUUGGUCGGCCCGAGGCUAUAGUAGAAGACAUUUGCCCAAGAUGCCACGCAGUCGGACUGAACCCGGAACCAUGUAGUUCAUAAGCAAGCUACUUACCACACAGCCACUUAUUAUUAUUAUUAUUAUUAUUAUUAUUAUUAUUAUUAUUAUUAUUAUUAUUAUUACUGGAGUCACUGUAAUCCCUUCCCACAAAAUUUUCGGGCCUUGUGGCUCUAGUGGAAAGAAUUAUUUUUACUGUCAUCAUCAUCAUCAUCAUCAUUCUCAUUGUUUAUGGUGGCGAUCUGUCAAAACUGCUAACAAGCUGGACAAAAUGCUUAGUGGCAUGUUUUCUGACUCAACACAUUCUGAGCUAAAAUUCUUAUUUCUUUACUGCCCAUUAGGGGCUACACACAAAGGGGACAAACAAGGACAGACAAACGGAUUAAGUCGAUUAUAUCUCACACACACACACACACACACACACACACACACACACACACACACACACACACACACACAUACACACACAUGAUGGGCUUCCAUUCAGUUUCUGUCUACCAAAUCCACUCACAAGGCAUUGCACUCUCUGGAGCUAUAGUAGAAGACCUUUACCCAAGGUGUUGCACUACGGGACUGAACCCAAAACCAUGGAGCUGCAAAGCAAGCUUCUUACCAAACAGCCAUACCACGUCUACAUCUUUUCCAUUUUGUUUUUUACUGUUGUUUUAAAUGGUUGUGAUAUACGAGUAUGAAAGAGGAAUUAGAUAGGGAUUAGGAGUUAAACGUAGAUAUAUAAGGUUAUUGAGAUUACUUAAGGGGCAUUGUGGAAAUAUACUGCAUGGUCAUUUAGGCAUUUGGAUUUGUGGUAGAAUUUGAAUGUGUGAAAAAAGCAGUGGUUGCAUGUGCUUAGUGCCUCAUUUUGUUUAUUUAACAGUGUUGAAGAGUUGUGCUUUAAUAUGUGAAGUGCCUCUUUCAAGCAAAACUUGCAGGUUGAGUGUUGACCUCAGUAAGGAAGCUCUGAAUGCAGUAUGGACCAUGAUAUACAUGUAUAUAUAAAUAUAUACAUGUGUGUAUAUAUAUUCUUUUCUUUCUUUUCUUUUACUUGUUUCAGUCAUUUGACUGAAACACAUCAGUAUCGGUUGUAAGCACAUCAGUAUCGGUUGUCAAGCAAUGCUAGGGGGACAAACACACACAUACAUAUAUAUAUAUAUAUACAUAUAUACAACAGGCUUCUUUCAGUUUCCGUCUACCAAAUCCACUCACAAGGCAUUGGUCGGCUAUAGCACAAGACACUUUGCCCAAGAUGCCACGCAGUGGGACUGAACCUGGAACCAUGUGGUUGGUUAGCAAGCUACUUACCACACAGCCACUCCUGCGCCUAUAUAUACAUAUAUAUAUAUAUAUAUAUAUAUAUAUAUAUAUAUAUAUAUAUAUAUAUAUAUAUAUAUAUAUAUAUAUAUAUAUAUAUAUAUAUAUAUAUAUAUAUACAACAAAACACCUGUUUCCUUCUCUCUGUCUCACUCUAACCUUUCAUCACCUGACACAAGAUCACUUUCUCCAAUGCCUCCUCCCCUCUCAGAAGAUUUUUGUCUUGCAAGUUACUUCGUGAUUUUGCCAAUGCAAGUGCCAUUUAAAAAGCAUCCUGUCUAUGCUGCGAAGUGGUAGGCAUUUGGAAGGGCAUCCAGCUGUAAAAUCCUUGCUUAUGCUUGUGCGAUGUCAAAAGCACUAAAUCCACUCUGCUGGGUGGUUGGUGGUUGGUGUUAGGAAAGGUAUCCAACUGUAAAAAUCUUGCCAAAACAGUCACAGAAGUCUGGUGCUAGCUUCUGUUUGGUUGGCUCCUAUCAAAGAGUCCCACCCAUGCCAGCAUGGAAGGCGGAUGUUAAAUGAGACGAUGAUGAAGAUGAUAUAUAUAAAACUGAAGUUUCAAAUAGUAGCCAGAUAUUGGAUGUAUGGAACUUGGAAUUGUGACAUUUGAAGUUAGAGCUUAAAUAAAUAUGUUUUGUCUCUCUACGUCCAGCAGAGAACACUCAUGUUUCUUCUCGUUUAUAAUUAAAUGUUUACAGAUAUAUGUGUAAGUGUAUCUUUGUCUACAUAAUCAAUAUAUGUGUGUGUGUUUCUAUAAAUAUGUUUUCUUUUAUUUUCUUUUAUUUUUUUUACUUGUUUCAGUCAUUUGACUGCGGCCAUGCUGGAGCACCGCCUUUAGUCGAGCAGCUCAACCCCGGUACUUAUUCAUUGUAAGCCCAGUACUUAUUCUAUUGGUCUCUUUUCUCUUUUACUUGUUUCAGUCAUUUGACUGUGGCUAUGCUGGAGCACCGCCUUUAGUCGAGCAGCUCAACCCCGGUACUUAUUCAUUGUAAGCCCAGUACUUAUUCUAUCGGUCUCUUUUGCCGAACCGCUAAGUGACGGAGACAUAAACACACCAGCAUCGGUUGUCAAGCAAUGCUUGGGGGACAAACACAAACAUACAUGCACACACACAUAUAUAUAUAUACACAUAGGCGCAGGAGUGGCUGUUUGCUAAGUAACUUGCUAACCAACCACAUGGUUCCGGGUUCAGUCCCACUGCGUGGCAUCUUGGGCACGUGUCUUCUGCUAUAGCCCCGGGCCGACCAAUGCCUUGUGAGUGGAUUUGGUAGACGGAAACUGAAAGAAGCCUGUCGUAUAUAUGUAUAUAUAUGUAUAUGUGUGCGUGUGAAUAUGUUUGUGUGUCUGUGUUUGUUCCCCUAGCAUUGCUUGACAACCGAUGCUGGUGUGUUUACGUCCCCGUCACUUAGCGGUUCGGCAAAAGAGACCGAUAGAAUAAGUACUGGGCUUACAAAGAAUAAGUCUCGGGGUCGAUUUGCUCGACUAAAGGCGGUGCUCCAGCAUGGCCGCAGUCAAAUGACUGAAACAAGUAAAAAAAAAAAAAAAGAGUAAUAUAUACGACGGGCUUCUUUCAGUUUCCAUCUACCAAAUCCACUCACAAGGCUUUGGUCGGCACGAGGCUAUAGUAGAAGACACUUGCCCAAGGUGCCAUGCAGUGGGACUGAACCCGGAACCAUGUGGUUGGUAAACAAGCUACUUACCACACAGCCACUCCUGCGCCUGUGUGUAUAUAUAUUUGUGUGUAUAUAUAUAUAUGUCUGUGCACACGCAUAUAUGUAUACUUGUAUGUGUGCAUGCAUGAACUUAUGAAUGUAUUUAUGGAUGUAUGUACGUAAGUGUGUAUGUGUGUAUGUUUGAUUGAGAG
rnacentral:lncRNA from 1 species